rnacentral:lncRNA from 1 species
UGGAGUAGCAUGUGAGUUUUGUGUAUAUCCAUCAGAUGUGGGCAAACUUGGAAUUGAAAUCAUAAGUCUGCAGCUUGACAGAUCUGAUGAAGGAGAACAUUACUCAGUUGAAUUAGCUUAGCAUCUGCAAUAACCUGAGAGAGACCCCAUGGCAACAGAAUCCACAAAAUCCGUGGCAAUGAAGACAUAAAACAGCUUGUUUCUUCCAAAGAUUGGGUAAUUCAAUCACCAUCUUCCAGAAGGCCACCAGCAGGAGAAUGAUAGAAAUGACAUAUUUGCUGUUUGUGGAAGAAAAAAAAAAUGUAAUUGGAAGGAAAUAAGACAAGAUGUUCACAGAUAAACGAGGAAAUAUCUUCUGGCUGAAAACACCGUGAGCUAGUUUACUCAUAUGCCAACAAUAAAUCUCUGUUUUCCUCAUCACCGGCGAAGAUGGGCUACAAUGAAAUUUGAACCAUUUUUGCAUUCAGCAGAAUGGAGUAAAAAUUUGACUGACCUCACUUCAGCGAGAGGGAAGGCACG